CUAGAACGAGAGCUGCCCUGGACAGAAGGUUCUGAAUCUUCAGGUAAGUACCGGCUGAACUGGCGUAACAUAAUGCAGAAAUAGAUAAAGAGAGCAAGAAAACACGCAAUGCCACAGAUGAGGAAAAGCCCCCAAAAGCUUUGUAACUGAAGCUGUUCUGAGCCAGACUCAGAGCUCUGGGAACUGCAUGCUUUUCUUGUCAGCCACUUAUCACGAAUCUUUUGAAGAUCACCAUUUUCAGAUAGAUUGAGAAUGGCAGUUGACAUAUCGAUGGCUAAAGGAGAAUCUCUUGGAAAUGCAAAUCCCCAUCCACUUUUGGUGAACUCUUGGCCCCUGAUUGAGAACUCACAAUGCUCUGACAGGAAGAGAUCCAUGUACGGUCGUUCAUCAACUAUGGCAGCAACAGUUCCAUUUGCAAGGGCAGUUGCAUAUUCUUCAGGAGAGCCAAGAGCAACAAGUCUAGUUGUUGCUAUGCUGAGUUCUUCAUUCAGAUAAUUUUGAGCAAAGGACCCUACUUGGAAUCCGA
rnacentral:misc_RNA from 1 species